UACGGGGGGGGCAAGCGUUGUUCGGAAUUACUGGGCGUAAAGGGCGCGUAGGCGGCGUGACUAGUCACUUGUGAAAUCUCCGGGCUUAACUCGGAACGGUCAAGUGAUACUGUCGUGCUAGAGUACAGAAGGGGCAACUGGAAUUCUCGGUGUAGCGGUGAAAUGCGUAGAUAUCGAGAGGAACACCUGCGGCGAAGGCGGGUUGCUGGGCUGAUACUGACGCUGAUGCGCGAAAGCCAGGGGAGCGAACGGG
rnacentral:rRNA from 1 species